AUGAACGCUAGCUACAGGCUUAACACAUGCAAGUCGAACGGCAGCACAGGGAGCUUGCUCCCGGGUGGCGAGUGGCGCACGGGUGAGUAAUACAUCGGAACGUGUCCUGGUUGUGGGGGGAUAACUGCUCGAAAGGGUGGCUAAUACCGCAUGAGACCUGAGGGUGAAAGCGGGGGAUCGCAAGACCUCGCGCAAUUGGAGCGGCCGAUGCCCGAUUAGCUAGUUGGUGAGGUAAAGGCUCACCAAGGCGACGAUCGGUAGCUGGUCUGAGAGGACGACCAGCCACACUGGGACUGAGACACGGCCCAGACUCCUACGGGAGGCAGCAGUGGGGAAUCUUCCGCAAUGGGCGAAAGCCUGACGGAGCAACGCCGCGUGAGUGAUGACGGCCUUCGGGUUGUAAAGCUCUGUGAUCGGGGACGAACGGUCCGUAAGCUAAUACCUUAUGGAAGUGACGGUACCCGAAUAGCAAGCCACGGCUAACUACGUG
rnacentral:rRNA from 1 species